rfam:Nocardioides luteus strain BAFB contig00037, whole genome shotgun sequence.
UCGGUGCCGGUUCACGUCCCGCAACCUGCGGCGGCGACCCGGAACC